rnacentral:snRNA from 1 species
GACAGAGUGAGACCCUGUCUCUGAGGAAAAAAAAAAAGAAACAGAUUAAAAUGGCCCCUGCACAAGGAUGACAUGCAAAUCCAUCAAGCAUUCCAUAUAAAA